GACGAACGCUGGCGGCGUGCUUAACACAUGCGAGUCGAACGGAAAGGCCCUGCUUUUGUGGGGUGCUCGAGUGGCGAACGGGUGAGUAACACGUGAGUAACCUGCCCUUGACUUUGGGAUAACUUCAGGAAACUGGGGCUAAUACCGGAUAGGAGCUCCUGCUGCAUGGUGGGGGUUGGAAUGUUUCGGCGGUUGGGGAUGGACUCGCGGCUUAUCAGCUUGUUGGUGGGGUAGUGGCUUACCAAGGCUUUGACGGGUAGCCGGCCUGAGAGGGUGACCGGCCACAUUGGGACUGAGAUACGGCCCAGACUCCUACGGGAGGCAGCAGUGGGGAAUAUUGCACAAUGGGCGGAAGCCUGAUGCAGCAACGCCGCGUGCGGGAUGACGGCCUUCGGGUUGUAAACCGCUUUCGCCUGUGACGAAGCGUGAGUGACGGUAAUGGGUAAAGAAGCACCGGCUAACUACGUG
rnacentral:rRNA from 1 species